UACGCAGGGGGCUAGCGUUACUCGGAAUCACUGGGCGUAAAGGGUGCGUAGGCGGGUCUUUAAGUCAGGGGUGAAAUCCUGGAGCUCAACUCCAGAACUGCCUUUGAUACUGAGGAUCUUGAGUAUGGGAGAGGUGAGUGGAACUGCGAGUGUAGAGGUGAAAUUCGUAGAUAUUCGCAAGAACACCAGUGGCGAAGGCGGCUCACUGGCCCAUUACUGACGCUGAGGCACGAAAGCGUGGGGAGCAAACAGG
rnacentral:rRNA from 1 species